UUCGGGGGUACUCGAGUGGCGAACGGGUGAGUAACACGUGGGCAAUCUGCCCUGCACUUCGGGAUAAGCCUGGGAAACUGGGUCUAAUACCGGAUAGGACCUUUAGACGCAUGUCUUUUGGUGGAAAGCUUUUGCGGUGUGGGAUGGGCCCGCGGCCUAUCAGCUUGUUGGUGGGGUGACGGCCUACCAAGGCGACGACGGGUAGCCGGCCUGAGAGGGUGUCCGGCCACACUGGGACUGAGAUACGGCCCAGACUCCUACGGGAGGCAGCAGUGGGGAAUAUUGCACAAUGGGCGCAAGCCUGAUGCAGCGACGCCGCGUGGGGGAUGACGGCCUUCGGGUUGUAAACCUCUUUCACCAUCGACGAAGGUUCGGGUUUUCUCGGAUUGACGGUAGGUGGAGAAGAAGCNNCGGNCAACUACGUGCCAGCAGCCGCGGUAAUANGUAGGGUGCGAGCGUUGUCCGGAAUUACUGGGCGUAAAGAGCUCGUAGGUGGUUUGUCGCGUUGUUCGUGAAAUCUCACGGCUUAACUGUGAGCGUGCGGGCGAUACGGGCAGACUAGAGUACUGCAGGGGAGACUGGAAUUCCUGGUGUAGCGGUGGAAUGCGCAGAUAUCAGGAGGAACACCGGUGGCGAAGGCGGGUCUCUGGGCAGUAACUGACGCUGAGGAGCGAAAGCGUGGGGAGCGAACAGGAUUAGAUACCCUGGUAGUCCACGCCGUAAACGGUGGGUACUAGGUGUGGGUUUCCUUCCUUGGGAUCCGUGCCGUAGCUAACGCAUUAAGUACCCCGCCUGGGGAGUACGGCCGCAAGGCUAAAACUCAAAGNAAUUGACGGGGGCCCGCACAAGCGGCGGAGCAUGUGGAUUAAUUCGAUGCAACGCGAAGAACCUUACCUGGGUUUGACAUGCACAGGACGCGUCUAGAGAUAGGCGUUCCCUUGUGGCCUGUGUGCAGGUGGUGCAUGGCUGUCGUCAGCUCGUGUCGUGAGAUGUUGGGUUAAGUCCCGCAACGAGCGCAACCCUUGUCUCAUGUUGCCAGCGGGUAAUGCCGGGGACUCGUGAGAGACUGCCGGGGUCAACUCGGAGGAAGGUGGGGAUGACGUCAAGUCAUCAUGCCCCUUAUGUCCAGGGCUUCACACAUGCUACAAUGGCCGGUACAAAGGGCUGCGAUGCCGCAAGGUUAAGCGAAUCCUUUUAAAGCCGGUCUCAGUUCGGAUUGGGGUCUGCAACUCGACCCCAUGAAGUCGGAGUCGCUAGUAAUCGCAGAUCAGCAACGCUGCGGUGAAUACG
rnacentral:rRNA from 1 species